AAGUCCUACGGGACGCAGCAGUGAGGAAUAUUGGUCAAUGGUCGGGAGACUGAACCAGCCAAGCCGCGUGAGGGAUGAGGGUACAGAGUAUCGUAAACCUCUUUUGUCAGGGAACAAAGGCGGGGACGUGUCCCCGGAUGAGUGUACCUGAAGAAAAAGCAUCGGCUAACUCCGUGCCAGCAGCCGCGGUAAUACGGAGGAUGCGAGCGUUAUCCGGAUUUAUUGGGUUUAAAGGGUGCGCAGGCGGUCUGUUAAGUCAGCGGUCAAAGCCCGGGGCUCAACCCCGGCCCGCCGUUGAGACACGG
rnacentral:rRNA from 1 species